rnacentral:rRNA from 1 species
AGUGAACGCUGGCGGUAGGCCUAACACAUGCAAGUCGAACGGCAGCACAGUAAGAGCUUGCUCUUACGGGUGGCGAGUGGCGGACGGGUGAGGAAUACAUCGGAAUCUACUUUUUCGUGGGGGAUAACGUAGGUAAACUUACGCUAAUACCGCAUACCACCUACGGGUGAAAGCAUGGGAUCUUCGGACCUUGCGCGAUUGAAUGAGCCGAUGUCGGAUUAGCUAGUUGGCGGGGUAAAGGCCCACCAAGGCGACGAUCCGUAGCUGGUCUGAGAGGAUGAUCAGCCACACUGGAACUGAGACACGGUCCAGACUCCUACGGGAGGCAGCAGUGGGGAAUAUUGGACAAUGGGCGCAAGCCUGAUACAGCCAUACCGCGUGGGUGAAGAAGGCCUUCGGGUUGUAAAGCCCUUUUGUUGGGAAAGAAAAGCAGCAGGUUAAUACCCCGCUGUUCUGACGGUACCCAAAGAAUAAGCACCGGCUAACUUCGUG